UUCAUAGAGUGGCAGAGAGUGUGAGAUUCCAUCCGUAACUGACGAGACACAGACAGUUGAUGUUUGCAGGGGAAAGAAUGGCGUUUCUUUCUGCCCUCCGCCCCUCGGUCGCUGGAGCUAAUACUCAGAGAUUACUUCGGAUUUAUGAGCAACAUCGACAUUAUGACGUAGAGAGAGGCAGUGUGCUCUUGAUCCCAAUGGAUGACAUGAUGCCCACACCCCCCUGCAGCUGACACAAAGCGAAGACUACCAGGCUUCAGGUUUCGCUUUCUUUCUUCUUAUAUUUUUGGUUGUGAGUCUAGCCUUUAACGGCUGAGCCAUCUCUCCAGCCCGCUUUCUUUCUUCUAAUGUAAGAAGGGGAUCGAUUCAUGGGCCAUGUGGCUUAGGAAAGCACAGAAGCUAAUAGUCCUGGAAACACUAAAUAUACCAUGCGUUAUGUACAGCAUGAAAGUAGACCGUAUGCCAUUUAAUACCAGAGCCUGUGAAGGUAUGUUUAGCCUCAUCUUUGCACUCGGGGAAACACCAGUAUUUGAGCCUCCAUGUCCCGUGACCAGAGAGUAAUGGCCGUAUCUUGAAUCUCGUCCAUACAUUGGUUACCUAAAUCCUGAAGCUUGCUGCCCAGCUGAGGAAACUGCGUGGGUCAGCUGUUACAUAAACACAGGCGAGAAGAGUCCUUUUGCAUCCUUGACACUCCACAGGGAACCACACCCAACAGCAUUGUGUUUUGGGUUGGGGUCGGUUCGCUUCCUUGAAUUAGACACAUCCUUUUCGAAACGAUUGAGCUGGGGCAGCUGUGGAAGGCUACUGGUGUGUUAGGAACGCUAGUGUGUUUAUUGAGAGGAGUGGCCUUUGUAGCAAAGAAAGAGUUCCUUUGAUAAUCAACCUUACCACUUUCCCGUAAAACACCCAAGGAGGGAAACCAAUUCUCUUGGUUCUCCUCUACACUAACCUAGAUGGAGCUGAAGAUGGACAAACCCUCUGGAUUUAAGGACAGCAUGCUGUUUCACACUGGGUUUGCUGACGAGAGCAUUCCUCUGCAGGAAUGAGACUCUGGAAAGAAAGCUAGAUUUGGACUCAACUUGUAGAAUUCUAGCUUCUCCCUGGUCUCUGUCACUCCCCUCUGUAUCAAAAACAAACAAACAAACAAACAAACAAACGAAGCAGGAGGAUCCCUGCUUCCUCACUGGGCUUUCCUUCGGAGAUCACAUAAGAAGUUUGAAAGAGUCUCAAAAGCACGACACUGCAGUGUACAAAGCUCGCAUCUUAUCGCUAUGGUUGUAGCACCUGGUACUACAUUUAUAAACGCCACGUGUUUUCUUUUCAGUUCUGUAAUAACUAACCCUAUUUCUCACUUGUGAGGACUUGAUUGGACCAAAGAUGAGGACCAAGACAUGAGAAGCCUCUGUGUGUGUGUGUGUGUGUGUGUGUGUGUGUGUGAGAGAGAGAG